UUUUAUAGCCCUUUGGGCCUAGCUUCAAAUUUCUCUCCAGAAUGGUUGGAUCAAUUCACAACUCCACUAACAACGCAGUACUGUCCCAGUUUUCACACAUCCCCUCGGACAUUUAUCAUUUUCCUUUCUUGUCAUAUUAGCCAAUCUGAUGGGUGUGAGGUAGUACUUCAGAGCUGUUUUAAUUUUCCUUUUGUUCUAAUCAAUAGUAUCUAUGCCCUUUCUUACGUGCAGUUAAGGAUAUGUUUGCUUCACAGAGGUUUGUACCUGGAAGGGUGGCAUGGUGUGUGCUCUGAAGCUAGUUACCCACCCUGAUUCCCACUGACGAGUUAGGUCCCCAGUAUAAGACUGGCUCUAUCUCCUUUCAGUGUUCUAGUGUCUUUGUCUUUGUCCUUGUGUUGGGAGCAGUUCAGUUCAAAUCCUCCUUCAGACACUCAUUAGCUGUGGCACCACAGACUGACGAGUCACUUUGAUCCUGAGACUCAGUUUUCUCAACUGUAAAUUGGAAUCUGCAGCCCCUGCCCCCCCCCACUUGUUAUGAGGCUAAGAGGAUGUAUCCAAAGUACUUUGGUUUUAAACCAUUAAACAAGGUCUAUUGUUUUGUUUUGUUUUUUUCCUGGAAAUUUCAAAAAUCUGACUGUCAGAGCUGGAAACGCCCAUUUCUUGGAAUUGCUGGCUAUUCACCUGUGCUCAAAGGCAGAAGACGGUGGCCAAGAACUCAGACCAGCCCUGGAUGAGGAAACCGAGGCCAGACAUCUCUGGAUAAGGACCUGGAGCUCUAGAGCAAGAAGGGACCUUUCAGAGUUGGAGAGUCAAACAGGAAGGAAAUGUCAAAGUCGGGGUUCAAACCGUGUUCUGUGACUCCAGACCCAGCAGGAAAAUCACACUGAACGAUCCCAGGCCAGACAAAGCUUUGGGUUAUUUCGCAUUUGCUGAUGUAAAAACAAAACUUUUUUUUUCAUUUUUGGAUUUUUUCCAGCUAGAUGAAGUUAAAUUUUAAUGUGCAGGCCUGCGCGCACACACACAGACACACACACACACAGACACACACAGACACAGACACACACAGACACAGACACACACGCACACACACACACACACAGACACACACACAGACACACACACACACACACACACACACACUGCUCUGUACUCCUCAUCACCUGUCAAUAUUCCUGUCCUUACCCAGCGAGCGCCAUGCCUGGGAGCCAGCCUCCGCAUGCUUCUUUCUGCCUGAAGUUCUCCCUGAUUCACAGCAGCUGGCAGCAUUGACUCAGUGAAAUCCCCAUCCCUGAUAAACAGAAAGACUGAGCUCCUGUGAAGUGACAGGAUCAGAUCUAAGCAAAACAGAAACCAACCUUCAAAGAGCUAAGAUGCGGCUGCCACCUCCCCCUCCCAGCCCCAGGCCCCCAAAGUCUGAGAUGCUGUGAAGUGAUGGAUGCUGUACUGGACUGGGAAUCAGGAAGACCCAGGUUCAAAUCCUGCCUGGACAUUUCAUAACUAUGUGACUCACUUAACUUGUCCAAGCCUCAGUUUCCUCAUCUGUAAAAUGGAUUCCAUUGCAUUUGUACCCCUUUACUUGUGGGCUGUUUGUGAGAAUUGGAGGAGACAGUGUCCUUAAGGUGCUCUCCAAAUGCCAGUUAGUAUUAAGGAGAGACAGUGGAAUCCUUUUGGGCAUGAGACUUCCCAGCCCCUUUCCCCCCAUGCAGGAGAACUGCCAGGGAUGAAUUAAUGCAGACUCUGCAUGCAAGCUUCAUUUGUUCACCAGAGCUGAGGACUGAGCAAUAUGCAGAAACCCAGCCUGGAGACAAAGGCCUGAUUGCCACUGGAAAUCCCUUCUCUGCCUGCAAUCCCAGGGCUGACUAGUUCUGCACUAUUGUGAGAAGAUCUUAUAUUGUCCUGGUGAGGUGAAGCCCCAGUUAUGCAAAGGGCAGAAUGAAAGAGCUGUGGGUGUGAGGUUACAGAUCCCAUCUGGGCUCUGGAUUUCAAUCCUCAAAGUAAAUAAAAGGGGGCAUCACGAUAAUUCUUCAUAGCUUCGAACAGUUCUAUUUUCCUUAAAAAUAAAUUCUAAUAGAUUUUAUUGAUA